CUGGUUCUUAUCCCGCAAACACACCAUGUACAGUACCUAUUAAGUAUUAAUAAAAAUGAUGUAAAUAUAAUGUUAUUCUAAAUAACCUACUAAAAUUUCAGGAUUUCCGAAUGUCAUUGGUUUGAUAGACGGUACUCAAGUACGUGUACGAGCCCCUCAUGAGUUUGAAGCCGAUUAUGUAAACAGGAAAGGGUAUCAUUCGAUCAAUGUGCAGAUGGUUUGUGAUGCAAAGCUUCGUUUUAUGAAUGUUGUUGCCAAGUGGCCAGGAAGUGUCCACGACUCCAGAAUAUUCAAAGAGUCACGCCUUGCUUCAGAAUUAGAGCAAGGCCAACAUAAUGG